rnacentral:rRNA from 1 species
UACGUAGGGCGCAAGCGUUGUCCGGAAUUAUUGGGCGUAAAGAGCUCGUAGGCGGUCUGUUGCGUCCGCUGUGAAAACUCGGGGCUUAACCCCGAGCCUGCAGUGGAUACGGGCAGACUAGAGUGAUGUAGGGGAGACUGGAAUUCCUGGUGUAGCGGUGAAAUGUGCAGAUAUCAGGAGGAACACCGAUGGCGAAGGCAGGUCUCUGGGCAUUAACUGACGCUGAGGAGCGAAAGCAUGGGGAGCGAACAGG